rnacentral:rRNA from 1 species
CAGGGAUUGCCCUAGUAACGGCGAGUGAAGCGGCAACAGCUCAAAUUUGAAAGCUAGCCUUCGGGUUCGCAUUGUAAUUUGUAGAGGAUGAUUUGGGGAAGCCGCCUGUCUAAGUUCCUUGGAACAGGACGUCAUAGAGGGUGAGAAUCCCGUAUGUGACAGGAAAUGGCACCCUAUGUAAAUCUCCUUCGACGAGUCGAGUUGUUUGGGAAUGCAGCUCUAAAUGGGAGGUAAAUUUCUUCUAAAGCUAAAUAUUGGCGAGAGACCGAUAGCGCACAAGUAGAGUGAUCGAAAGAUGAAAAGCACUUUGGAAAGAGAGUUAAAAAGCACGUGAAAUUGUUGAAAGGGAAGCGCUUGCAAUCAGACUUGUUUAAACUGUUCGGCCGGUCUUCUGACCGGUUUACUCAGUUUGGACAGGCCAGCAUCAGUUUCGGCGGCCGGAUAAAGGCUCUGGGAAUGUGGCCUCCACUUCGGUGGAGGUGUUAUAGCCCAGGGUGUAAUACGGCCAGCCGGGACUGAGGUCCGCGCUUCGGCUAGGAUGCUGGCGUAAUGGUUGUAAG